rnacentral:rRNA from 1 species
AUUGAACGCUGGCGGCAUGAUUUACACAUGCAAGUCGAACGGUAACAGGCCGCAAGGUGCUGACGAGUGGCGAACGGGUGCGUAAUGCAUCGGAACGUGCCCAGUCGUGGGGGAUAACUACUCGAAAGAGUAGCUAAUACCGCAUACGAUCUAUGGAUGAAAGCGGGGGACCGUAAGGCCUCGCGCGAUUGGAGCGACCGAUGUCAGAUUAGGUAGUUGGUGGGGUAAAGGCUCACCAAGCCAACGAUCUGUAGCUGGUCUGAGAGGACGACCAGCCACACUGGGACUGAGACACGGCCCAGACUCCUACGGGAGGCAGCAGUGGGGAAUUUUGGACAAUGGGCGCAAGCCUGAUCCAGCAAUGCCGCGUGCAGGAAGAAGGCCUUCGGGUUGUAAACUGCUUUUGUACGGAACGAAACGGCUCUGGUUAAUACCCGGGGCUAAUGACGGUACCGUAAGAAUAAGCACCGGCUAACUACGUG